ACUCGGGUGGUGGAACUGGUAGACACGCAGGACUUAAAAUCCUGUUCGCAGUAAUGCGAGUGACGGUUCAAUUCCGUUCCCGAGUA
rnacentral:tRNA from 1 species